rnacentral:rRNA from 2 species
AGGUGAACCUGCGGAGGGAUCAUUACACAAAU